UACGAAGGGGGCUAGCGUUGCUCGGAUUUACUGGGCGUAAAGGGCGCGUAGGCGGAUCGACAAGUUGGGGGUGAAAUCCCGGGGCUCAACCUCGGAACUGCCUCCAAAACUGUAGGUCUUGAGUAUGGGAGAGGUGUGUGGAACUCCGAGUGUAGAGGUGAAAUUCGUAGAUAUUCGGAAGAACACCAGUGGCGAAGGCGACACACUGGCCCAUUACUGACGCUGAGGCGCGAAAGCGUGGGGAGCAAACAGG
rnacentral:rRNA from 1 species